rnacentral:rRNA from 1 species
GGACUACUAGGGUAUCUAAUCCUGUUUGCUUCCCACGCUUUCGCGUCUCAGUGUCAGUCAUUGCCCAGAGAGCCGCCUUCGCCACUGGUGUUCCUCCCGAUAUCUACGAAUUUCACCUCUACACCGGGAAUUCCGCUCUCCUCUUCAAGACUCCAGUCCGACAGUAUCGAAUGCACUUCCCGGGUUGAGCCCAGGGCUUUCACAUCCGACUGAUCGAACCACCUACUCGCGCUUUACGCCCAGUAAUUCCGAGCAACGUUCGCACCCUCUGUCUUACCGCGGCUGCUGGCAC